UAAAAAUUCUAUUGAGGUCACUAUUUUGGACAAGAAUAGGAAUUUUUUUCCUCGGGUGAGAACUAUUAAGCCACAAGGGGAAAAUAUAUAUUCAGCAGAAAGGAAAAACUCAAAAAAAAAAGUGUUUUAUGAGGUUUUUUUUUUUUUUUUUUUAAAGGAAAAACUCAAAAAAAGAAGCGUUUUAUGAGUUUUUUUUUUUUUUUAAAAACAAAAGGUGGGUGUUGAGAGAGUGAAAGAAACCAGAAAGAAGGAAAUGUUCUCUCUCACUUACAAAAUUAAGAACAUGAGACAUAAAAUGAAUUUAGCAAGCAGCCGAUUACAAAAAUAUACAGCAGUUCCACAUUAUGAUUUAAAUAGAGAGAUGAAGACUGAAAGGUAAAGUAGAGGAGACACAAGUAGGGAAAAGAAGAGUUAAGAUGGCGGAGGUGGGACAGCCGCGGGGGCCACAACGGUGUAGCAAUGUAGAAGACAGUGAUGGGAUUGGUAGUUAAAGCGCAGCUUCUCCCGGACGUCCUCCGUGCUUCCUCUUACAGGCCUUCCCCGUGAGCCCCUGGACCCAGCCUCCUGAACCCCCGUCGCCAUGGUCCUUCUCCUCAAACCCAGCCAGCUGCCCACUGUGCCCCUCAGGGUGGGUGCAGGAACUCGAGACUGAAAACAGGUCCUGUUUCCCAAUGUUAUUUAGGACCAGGAGAGCUACAAACCCAAGUGCAUGUUCUUCGGUUCCUCCAAUAGAACUUCACUCACCUUGGAGUCAAUGACAACAGCCUAUCUGUG
rnacentral:lncRNA from 1 species